GAUGAACGCUGGUGGCGUGCCUAAUACAUGCAAGUCGAGCGAACAGAUAAGGAGCUUGCUCCUUUGACGUUAGCGGCGGACGGGUGAGUAACACGUGGGUAACCUACCUAUAAGACUGGGAUAACUUCGGGAAACCGGAGCUAAUACCGGAUAACAUUUGGAACCGCAUGGUUCUAAAGUGAAAGAUGGUUUUGCUAUCACUUAUAGAUGGACCCGCGCCGUAUUAGCUAGUUGGUAAGGUAACGGCUUACCAAGGCGACGAUACGUAGCCGACCUGAGAGGGGUAGCGGCAAAAAGGGAAAGAGCACAGGGGCAAGACCCCAAGGGGGGGAAGAAGGAGGGAAUUCUCCGAAAGGGGGAAAGGCCUGAGGGAGAAACGCGGGGUGGGUAAAGAAGGUUUUGGGCCGGAAAAACUCUUUUAUGAGGGAAAAAAAAAUGUGUAAGUAACUGUGCACGUGUUGACGGAACCAAAACAAAAAGCCACGGCAAAAAACG
rnacentral:rRNA from 1 species